UCAGACGGCUGGACGGCCGCUGGUUCGUGAGUGAUCACGGGCUGGAGGAAAGUCCGGGCUCCACGGGAAUAGGGUGCCGGCUAAUGGCCGGCGGGGGCGACCUCAGGGAAAGUGCCACAGAAAACAAACCGCCGCGGCGUGGCGACACCUCGCGGUAAGGGUGAAACGGUGCGGUAAGAGCGCACCGCGCCCCCAGCAAUGGGGGCGGCAGGGUAAACCCCACCCGGAGCAAGGCCGAAUAGGGGCGGACGGCGCGGCGCCGAAAGGCGCUGGCGCGGGGGCAUUUCCGCCCUUCCGCCCGGGUUGGCCGCGCGAAGCCCGCAGUAAUGCGGGCUCCAGAGGAAUGGCCGUCCAUGCCCCGCAAGGGGCAAGACAGAACCCGGCUUACAGGCCGUCUGACGCU
rnacentral:RNase_P_RNA from 1 species